CAAGUAAGACUAGUGUUAUUCAUCUUUAUUAGGUUUAAAGGGUACCUAGACAGUAUAUCUAGCCUCAAAAGGGAACAGAUUUACUAGAGUUUUAUGUGAGAGGAAAAUAUUAGAACCAUUGGAGUAGUGAUAGAAUAUUUUGAUACUAAUGGGACGGAUAACGGCGAAGGCAAACCUCUAUGUAAUAACUGACGUUGAGGGACAAAGGCUUGGGGAGCGAAUAGGAUU
rnacentral:rRNA from 1 species